GACGAACGCUGGCGGCGUGCUUAACACAUGCAAGUCGAACGAAGUGGCGGACGGGUGAGUAACGCGUAAUCAACCUGCCCUUCAGAGGGGGACAACAGUUGGAAACGACUGCUAAUACCGCAUACUGAAGGAGGGGAUUGCGUCUGAUUAGCUGGUUGGAGGGGUAACGGCCCACCAAGGCGAUGAUCAGUAGCCGGUCUGGGAGGAUGAACGGCCCCAUUGGGAACGAGACAAGGGCCAGAAUCCUUCGGGAGGCAGCAGUGGGGGAGCUUUCGACAUGGAGGGAAGUCUGACGGAGCAACGCCGCGUGAGGGAUGACGGCCUUCGGGUUGUAAAGCUCUGUUAAUCGGGACGCGGUACCGGAAUAGAAAGCCACGGCUAACUACGUGCCAGCAGCCGCGGUAAUUC
rnacentral:rRNA from 1 species